AUACUUCAAAAUCAUCUCAAGUGAACAAAAAAGUAGUGUACAGUAGGUGUUAGAUGAGUAGUUUCCAUCUGCCAGAUAAAUAUCGUAAGACCGAUCCUGCUUAACAGCAUUAAAAAAAAA